AUCUCUCCGGUGACCUAAGUGGUUAGAGAGUUUGCCUCGGAUGCAGGAGGUCGCGGGUUCGAACCCCUGCUGAGAUA